UGAGGAGGCAGCCAUAAGGAAAGGAAGGAAGAAACUUCACUGAGGUGGAAACUUCGAAAAGGGAUUGAUUGACUAACAGUAACUGAUGAAAAAUGGCCAGCUAAUACCAAACCACCAGAUAAGAAUGAUGAAACCGACUUUGCAGACAUCAUAAAAG